AUGUCUUUUAUGGGCACCAUAAAUUGGUUUUGCUUCACAUUGUCUUGAUCAAGAGUGUGUAAAGCUUUUGAGAAUUGUGGUUGAACUUAUUUGAUAAAGCUGAUGUGUUCACCUUCUCCCCACUUUUUUUUUUAGGGGGGGAGAGGGUGCUGUAAGUUUGAAAUUUUAAAACUCCCUAGCUUAUGUGGAAGUUUGAAGACUUUCCAUGUGGGGUUUUCUCAUGGUUUGAAUUUUGAAUUUUGAAUUUCUUUGGCCAUGUUGAACCCGAUAAGAAUGAUAAGUUUCUACUUUUUUCAUUGUCUUCAUUUGCUCAUUUUGUAGUGAUUUUUGGAGACAUAGUACUUUUAUAGUUGAAAGGGAUUCCGGCAUUGCUUUGCACCAUCUUCAGGUGAACCUUUUUUUCAUCAGUGGCGCUAGUGCUAUAAGAUGCACCCGGUGAAAGCAUGCACUGGGUAUGCCCAGUGUGCAUGUCGGAGUGAAAGAUAACAUAUUGUCUUUGGUAAGAAAAAGGUGUACUGCACUUGGAAAAACCGUUGGUGCCUUCUUUAUAAUGAUUGGGAGUAUGCUAAGGGUGUCAUGCCUGAGCGACGUGUUCCUACUCACUUCCAAACUUGACGCGAGGGACCUUCAAGCUGUUCGGAUGGGAGCUAGCUGACGUAGAGAAGGUGUUGAGGGGGUGCCAAAAGAUGAUAGACAUUUGGGCAAGCUACGACCCUUAUUUCGAAAGUACGGUUUCCAACCCCUAGUGUCGGAGUGCCAGAGACGAGCAAGAGAAAGUAGGCAAGAAAGGGGAGAUUAGCGCCAAGAAAGGGAAAACACCCAUGUUAGUUCCCGUAGACGACAUUUUGUUUCACAAGAGAGCUCGUAAGCACUAGGUGAGGCCAGCCCCUAAACCUAAGUCUCAAGAGGAGGUUCUUAAGAUUGCUUCCUCAAAGAAGGCUGAAGCUAAGGCCAUCGGGUGUGCUGCUGCCAUAGUUGCAGAGGAGGAGAGAUGACUGCUGCCUCAUCUUCCUACCAUCAACCCUAUCUUUCCUCCAACCAUGAAGUCUACUGACCAAGAAGGUGACUCUAGCUCCAGCCGUAAGAUAAAGUACAAGGAAUAGGUUGGCAGCAUCCAUUGGAAAGACUUGAAAGUUACCAUGCAGCCAAGUAGUUUUAGGUAUGUCAAUAAUUGCAUGGCAGGACGUCGAUCCACUGUUGAUGAGCUUGGCGAGCCGCUAGAUGAGAAUGAAUCAGAUCGUGACCGGAUAAUGAGGCUAUCUUCUUAUGUUUUGAUCGAGUACGAUGACAGAUUACGAGAGGUCGAGCGGUACAAGGCAAAGUUUAAAGAGAAUAAGCAGCUUGUGAAUGACGCCAGAAAAGCGAGCAAAGCUUUGGCUGAUACCAUCCCUCUUAAGGAUCAAAACUUUGAGAAUUUGAAGAGGCAGAAUGGUGACAACGUGAGGCUCAAGAAACAAUUGGAAGCGACAAAAAAAAACAGUUGGAGACAACCAUCCUUGAUGUUUCCAAGGUUAAAUGGGAGUUGGAUAGUGCAUUGGUUGAGGUUUCUGGGCUGAAUAGGGGUAUCCCAACUGAGAUGGACGCUGCCGUGCAGGAGUUCUUAAGUUUCCAGGCCUUUCACGAUGCCUUUAUACCUCACUGCAUCCGGGCGGCUAAUUUUGAGAAAAGAAAAUGGAUGGCCGUCCUUAUGCGUUACGAUAAUGGAAGCAUUAUCCGAAAGUACCGUGAUGAGAUGGAUAAGUACCGAUAAAAAGGUGAAGCCUUCGUCCUCGCCGUUGAUCCUAGUAGUGAUGAUGACUCUGAUAAUGAGGCUAGUAUCGAUGUGCAAUCUCAGGAGAGUGAAGAUGGUCCUGGAGAUGCUGAGAAAGGUGGUGAUGGUGAUGGGGUUAAAACGCAGAGUGAUAUUGUCAGGGGUUCGGCCUUAGAUGAGGAUGACUCGUAGUGCCCUGUUUUUCUGCAUGUACUAUGGAUGUACGAGUUUGUUGUUUGUGUGGUAUGUGGCAUGUGCCAUGUACUCUGGAUGUACUAGUUUGUUGUUUAUGUGGCACGUGCCAUGUACUCUGGAUGUACUAGUUUGUUGUUUGUGUGGCAUGUGCCACGUACUCUAGAUGUACUAGUUUGUUGUUUAUGUGGCACGUGCCAUGUACUCUGGAUGUACUAGUUUGUUGUUUGUGUGGCAUGUGCCACGUACUCUGGAUGUACUAGUUUGUUGUUUAUGUGGCACGUGCCAUGUACUCUGGAUGUACUAGUUUGUUGUUUGUGUGGCAUGUGCCAUGUACUCUGGAUGU
rnacentral:sRNA from 1 species